GGGCAUGUCAGAUGGUGACCACGCGAACAUGUCUUUGUUGUUUUGGAGGAAGGUGGUCAGCUCCACCUUCUCGUCUGGGCUUAGGCGCGAGCCGAUCGGCGCUUUCUUGUCUGGCUGGUUAGGAUCGAGGGGUACUAACUCAACGUCUUCCUCAGGCUUCCAACCUUCUUCGAGGGAGCCUUCCGGGCGGAUUCCCUCAUCUCGAUCUUUCUUGUUUGGAUUCUGGC
rnacentral:lncRNA from 1 species